AGUGAACGCUGGCGGUAGGCCUAACACAUGCAAGUCGAACGGCAGCACAGUAAGAGCUUGCUCUUACGGGUUGCGAGUGGCGUACGGGUGAGGAAUACAUCGUAAUCUACUUUUUCGUGGGGGAUAACGUAGGGAAACUUACUCUAAUACCGCAUACGACCUACGGGUGAAAGCAGGGGAUCUUCGGACCUUGCGCGAUUGAAUGAGCCGAUGUCGGAUUAGCUAGUUGGCGGGGUAAAGGCCCACCAAGGCGACGAUCCGUAGCUGGUCUGAGAGGAUGAUCAGCCAAACUGGAACUGGGAAACGGUCCAGACUCCUACGGGAGGCAGCAGUGGGGAAUAUUGGACAAUGGGCGCAAGCCUGAUCCAGCCAUACCGCGUGGGUGAAGAAGGCCUUCGGGUUGUAAAGCCCUUUUGUUGGGAAAGAAAAGCAGCAGGUUAAUAACCCGCUGUUCUGACGGUACCCAAAGAAUAAGCACCGGCUAACUUCGUG
rnacentral:rRNA from 1 species